UCCACUGGNAUGAAAGGAUAAACUGGAAAAGUUCUUUCUUAAUCUUUCUUUUAAACUUUAUUUUUUAGUAAGAAAGCUAAAAUGUGUCUUUUAGACAAGAAGACCCUAUAAAGCUUUACAUAAAAUAAUUUAACAAAUUAAAAAUAUGUUUUACUGGGGCGGUAGAAGGAAAAACACCUUUNAGUUAUUAUAGAUAAUAUAAUCUUAAUACCCAAAAUUUUUGAAAAUUAAAUAAGUUACUUUAGGGAUAACAGCGUAAUAUGUUUUGAAAGCUCAAAUUGACAAACAUGUUUGCGACCUCGAUGUUGGAUUAGUUUUCCUUUAUUAUGCAAGAGUAUUAAUAGGAGGUCUGUUCGACCUUUAAAAGACUCCAUGAUCGGAGUCAAAUCCA
rnacentral:rRNA from 1 species